rnacentral:rRNA from 4 species
GAUGACCAUAGCGAGUUGGUACCACCCCUUCCCAUCCCGAACAGGACCGUGAAACGACUUUGCGCCGAUGAUAGUGCUGCAACCAGUGUGAAAGUAGGUCAUCGUC